UAAUCUUUCAGGGGUGCCUUAUAACAACGGGCUGAGAUUAUACCCAUAGAACCUGUACACGGGUAAUGCCGCAGCAGGGAAUGUAAACGAGUUUGUAG
rnacentral:ncRNA from 1 species